rnacentral:miRNA from 1 species
ACUCUUUGUGUAUGUAUAUGUAUGUGUGUGUGUGUGUGUGUACACACACACACACACACACAUACACAUACACACACGCAGAGU